AAGUCCCUGUUGACAGAACAUAUAUUGAUAAAUAUGCAAGAAGUAAAUGGGGACAGAUGCCACCGCUGAAAAAUGAUGCAUAAAACAGUUUGUCAUAGUAAGAUGCUAUGUGGUCAAAAUAGCGACCAUGCCCUUUCAGGUUAAAACUCUGCAAUAAAAAUCAAAGCUUACAAAAUCAGGCCGAACUAAUUCAUAAGCAUUACAAUGAUCAUGUACAGACAGAAGUGCUCUCAACAGUACAGCCAUGUUACAUAAAUUGAUUUUACACUUGAGAUUAUGAUAUCCAAGUAAUAGCAAAGGGCAUUCAUAUCUGGGAAAAACCUUGAUGGUGACAGAUAACCAGCAAAAAAUUGCAAUACAUCUCAGAAAAUAACGGAGACAAUGAAGCAACAAGACACUUACCAAUGGCCUUAGAUCUACAAGAAUGAGAUGAUUGUCGCUGCCACCAGAAACCAAUUUAUAUCCUAAUUCAACCAUUCGGUUUGCAAGUGCUCUAGAGUUACAGAUGACCUACAGGGAAAAGCAACAAGAAUAAGUUUGGAUGAAUUAAAACGUAUCUUGGACCAUGUUUAACCAAGAGAGUACAGUACCUGCUUCUGGUAAGCUUUAAAUUCAGGGGAUUGUGCAUGCUUCAAGCAAACUGCCAAUCCACCAAUUGUGUGAUUAUGAGGACCGCCCUGCACAACAUUUCACAAACUCUGUUAGUUUGAGAAUGAUGUGAAGGUGAAACUCCAUAAAGCAGAAAAUCUAAAUCAACUUCUAACAUGCAUUAGCAACCCACUUGUAAGCCUGGAAAAACAGCAUUGUUGAUGGCAGAUUCCAUGUCAACUCCUAGAACAGGAUCUUUUUUGAAAAAGAUCAUUCCACCUCUUGGACCUCGUAGUGACUGAAGAGAAAUGGAGAAUUUUCAGGUCGUCUAUUUGCAGAUCAACACAGCAAGAGUUGCUAUUCGCAUGUCAAUUGACAACAAAAUUAUGCAGGGCACAUUCACAUCAAAUUAAGAUCCAUACAAAAUCCGCAAUGCUAUAUCCCAUGCUAGACCAGGAAACAUGAAGUGGCAUUGAGCCCAAACUGUUCGUAAAUACCAGAAAAAUCUUCUCAAAUAGUCAUCUGGACUUACCUUGUGUGUUGUAGUUGUCACAACAUCACAGUACUCAAAGGGGUCGGCAACAACAGAAGCAGCAACAAGACCACUUAUAUGAGCCAUAUCCAUCAUGAGAAAAGCACCGACAGCAUCUGCAAUCUUUCAAUGCACAUAGAUUGUAGUUAGUUAGCUGUUAAAGCAGGGGGAAAUUUGGGCAAAAAUCACCUUGUGCCCCUAUAUUUUUAAUUUAGAGUCAUAUCUUUCACCCUCUACUCCAUUUUCCAUCAUGACAAACCUUCUGCUUAAACUUUUGGAACUUUUUAAUCCUUCCAUCCACCUCUGUCAUGGAAGUCUGUUGGUUUAUUAAUGCUAUCAGUUGAUCAAUCCUUAA